rnacentral:lncRNA from 1 species
CGAGGUGUAAGUGGUGUUUCGUUACAAUCAUCUGCCCCUGGCAUGGUUCAAAGACAACGACAACAAAAAGGCAAGUGAAGAAAUAAAAGCCCUACAACUACUAGGAUGUAGCUACAGCAAGUCGCUCACACUCAACCUGUAACACAAGUUCUUACCAAUUCUUACCUUGCUUGACAGGAGGGGUCGUCUGCCAACAAGUGUACAGCAAUGGACGAAGUGUAUCGGUGCUGCAGCACAAGACCUGUCAAGCUGUAGAGUAUGUGGAGCUAUAGGUGGGCUGAAACAAGGAACGAACUAGCACCACGUUAGUUAUAAAAGCGAGCUGAAUAAGCGUUCGACGAUGGUACUGUGCUGGUCCUAGGCUAGACCAUGCUAGAGACGCGAGCCUGGACACAAAGGGAAAACACAGCACACCACUAGAAACAAAAUGAGUAGCCCUACUGGAAACAAAAGGAACAACAAUCCCCUUUUUUUGAUUUUUUUUCUUUCUUUCUUUCUUUCUUUUUUUUUAUUUUUUUUUCUUUCUCUUUUCUUUUUUUUGGGGAACCUCAAAACCUGAUUAUAUAAACAAAAUAGUACAAAAUAUCACUUCACCACUCUCACCCUCUCACUAGAGUAAGGCUGAACCUCAAAAUUCAAUAUAUCUAGCACAAGUAUGAAGUGCUAUCUUUCCUUUUCGAUCACAUUGAUGGAAACGCAGAAUAGACCAACAAGUGGCUGCACCUAUUAUCAAGAUCUACUCAAAUUCCAACCCACAAUAGAUUGGACACAGUUGUGACUAGAUGGUGACAAGAACUCAAAUCUCUAAAGGACUAAACUAAAACCAGCACUGGACAAGACCGAAGCAAAACCCUCAUUCAACCAGCCCUAACUAAGUAGUACUAGCCACGGCACAAAGGAUUUAUAGGAUUAUGGAAAACAAAUCUGCUAUAUUUUUUGGCUUUUUUUUGGACUAUAGGAAAAACAAACACGAAGAAUUGGAAAUCUCUCACCGAUAAACCUUGCUCUGAUUACCAACUGAUGCGAACCCGCUAGGGUUUUUGGCCUGAUCUUUCGAUGAGAGGCGCUGGAUAACUCGAUUAGUGGAUGGAGAUGACGUUCACGGCCCAACUACAGCCCUCAAGACCGCGCCUUAGCAACCGAUACACCACGUCCAACAGCUGUCACGAUCUUGUGGAGCGCGACAACCAGCCCCUAGGGCUCCCGUCCUGCAAGCAAUCGAAGAACUAGCAAGAACGAGGAAACAAGCACUGAAUUUGCAAGAUGAAUUGAAGGUUCCAAACUGAAUCUGAAUCAACAAUGGGGUUCUGAAGACAAGGAGACGGGCGGCUGAUCCUGCACGCGCGCCUACAAGCAAGUAGCGAAGGCUAAACUUGAUCUAAACAAAACCCAGUUGUUCUUGGUGGCUCUAGAUGUAAAUAAAUAGAGGGGAGGACGACCAAAGGGGUGCUAGAGUCGUCCUCCAACCCUAGGACGCGUCCCGAAUGGACUCAACUUGAUACAUGGGCCAUUGGUCCAAAAUAGGGUGACGCAGCACCAAAACAGAAAAAGGUGUCGGCACGAAAACAAGGACUGCGCCCGACUCAUAAGCUGCAUAGAUAUGUGGUUGG